UGACGAGCGGCGGACGGGUGAGUAAUGUCUGGGAAACUGCCUGAUGGAGGGGGAUAACUACUGGAAACGGUAGCUAAUACCGCAUAACGUCUACGGACCAAAGUGGGGGACCUUCGGGCCUCAUGCCAUCAGAUGUGCCCAGAUGGGAUUAGCUAGUAGGUGGGGUAAUGGCUCACCUAGGCGACGAUCCCUAGCUGGUCUGAGAGGAUGACCAGCCACACUGGAACUGAGACACGGUCCAGACUCCUACGGGAGGCAGCAGUGGGGAAUAUUGCACAAUGGGCGCAAGCCUGAUGCAGCCAUGCCGCGUGUGUGAAGAAGGCCUUCGGGUUGUAAAGCACUUUCAGCGAGGAGGAAGGGUUCAGUGUUAAUAGCACUGUGCAUUGACGUUACUCGCAGAAGAAGCACCGGCUAACUCCGUGCCAGCAGCCGCGGUAAUACGGAGGGUGCAAGCGUUAAUCGGAAUUACUGGGCGUAAAGCGCACGCAGGCGGUUUGUUAAGUCAGAUGUGAAAUCCCCGCGCUUAACGUGGGAACUGCAUUUGAAACUGGCAAGCUAGAGUCUUGUAGAGGGGGGUAGAAUUCCAGGUGUAGCGGUGAAAUGCGUAGAGAUCUGGAGGAAUACCGGUGGCGAAGGCGGCCCCCUGGACAAAGACUGACGCUCAGGUGCG
rnacentral:rRNA from 1 species